UAGGGAAUCUUCCACAAUGGGCGAAAGCCUGAUGGAGCAACGCCGCGUGUGUGAUGAAGGGUUUCGGCUCGUAAAACACUGUUGUAAGAGAAGAAUGACAUUGAGAGUAACUGUUCAAUGCGUGACGGUAUCUUACCAGAAAGGAACGGCUAAAUACGUGCCAC
rnacentral:rRNA from 1 species